rnacentral:sRNA from 1 species
UAUUCAAGGUCAGAGGUCACAAAAAUCG